AUUGAACGCUGGCGGCAGGCCUAACACAUGCAAGUCGAGCGGUAGAGAGGAGCUUGCUUCUCUUGAGAGCGGCGGACGGGUGAGUAAUGCCUAGGAAUCUGCCUGGUAGUGGGGGAUAACGUUCGGAAACGGACGCUAAUACCGCAUACGUCCUACGGGAGAAAGUGGGGGAUCUUCGGACCUCACGCUAUCAGAUGAGCCUAGGUCGGAUUAGCUAGUUGGUGAGGUAAAGGCUCACCAAGGCGACGAUCCGUAACUGGUCUGAGAGGAUGAUCAGUCACACUGGAACUGGGACACGGUCCAGACUCCUACGGGAGGCAGCAGUGGGGAAUAUUGGACAAUGGGCGCAAGCCUGAUCCAGCCAUGCCGCGUGUGUGGAGAAGGUCUUCGGAUUGUAAAGCACUUUAAGUUGGGAGGAAGGUCAGUAGCUUAAUACGUUGCUGAUUUGACGUUACCGACAGAAUAAGCACCGGCUAACUCUGUGCCAGCAGCCGCCGUAACAC
rnacentral:rRNA from 1 species